CCUACGGGGAGCAGCAGUGGGGAAUAUUGCACAAUGGGGGGAACCCUGAUGCAGCGACGCCGCGUGAGUGAAGAAGUCUUUCGGUAUGUAAAGCUCUGUCAGCAGGGAAGAAAAUGACGGUACCUGUUUAAGAAGCCCCGGCUAACUACGUGCCAGCAGCCGCGGUAAUACGUAGGGGGCAAGCGUUAUCCGGAUUUACUGGGUGUAAAGGGAGCGUAGACGGCAGUGCAAGUCUGAAGUGAAAUGCCGGGGCUUAACCCCGGAACUGCUUUGGAAACUGUGCAGCUAGAGUGCAGGAGAGGUAAGUGGAAUUCCUAGUGUAGCGGUGAAAUGCGUAGAUAUUAGGAGGAACACCAGUGGCGAAGGCGGCUUACUGGACUGUAACUGACGUUGAGGCUCGAAAGCGUGGGGAGCAAACAGGAUUAGAUACCCUAGUAGUC
rnacentral:rRNA from 1 species